AUUGAACGCUGGCGGCAGGCCUAACACAUGCAAGUCGAACGAGUGGCGGACGGGUGAGUAAUGUCUGGGAAACUGCCUGAUGGAGGGGGAUAACUACUGGAAACGGUAGCUAAUACCGCAUACCAUCAGAUGUGCCCAGAUGGGAUUAGCUAGUGGGUGGGGUAACGGCUCACCAAGGCGACGAUCCCUAGCUGGUCUGAGCGGAUGACCAGCCACAAUGGAGAGGAAAAAAGGUACAGACUCCUACGGGAGGCAGCAGUGGGAGAUAUUGCACAAUGGGCGCAAGCAUGAUGCAGCCAUGCCGCGUGUAUAAAGAAGGCCUUCGGGUUGUAAAGUACUUUCAGCGGGGAGGCGUUACCCGCAGAAGAAGCAACGGCUAACUCGGUGCCAGCAGCCGAGGUAAUUC
rnacentral:rRNA from 1 species